CCUCAGCCGAGAGUGAUGCUGCCGGGCCGGCGCGGGUGCGCCGCGCGGUUGCGCCGCGCGGUUGGGGCGCCUGAAGCGGGGAGAAUUGGCGGCGAGGCGCCGGACUCAGCAUGUCGCUGCCUCUGGAGAAAGCCUCUGAGCUGAAGCAGCUCAUCCACCAGCCGCUGAGCAGAUUUCUGGCUUCUCCGGGAAUUUACAUCUUGGACCUCCAUGGGGCAUCAAUCUGCUGGAGCUGAGUGGCCAUUUUCCCCUUCCGUUUCCCCAGUCUCCAUGGCUCCUUAUUGUCUAACACCUACUUUACUCACUUAGAUGACCUGCCUAACCCAGGUCUAUAUAAUGAACUCUUUGUCCUCAGGAAGGAGCCAAGGAGUGGAAGACGACAAUGAGCAGCAUCCGACAGGAGAUGACCGUGAUGGUGGACUCGACGGACAAGAGCUAUGUCGAGCAAGGUGCAAACUGCGGCUAGACGUUCUCGUUCAUGGACACGCACAAUCUGAACGGGAGAGAUGACCACACGAUGGCCACUGAGAUGAGCACUUUGGUGCAUUCCCACACUUAGAAGAAUCACGAGCCGGCUGACGUGCGCUGACAGACUGGGAAGCUUCACCCCGCUAUCCAGGUGGCAGACCGGCGUCAACAUCACACAGAUGAAGUGUUUAGAGGGCUGCGGCUUAAAGGAGGGAUAUGAAGUGACCAUGAGCUUCGGGCCAGGGCUCCUUCUCAGCCCUCCGGGGCCUGAUGCCAGGGACUGUGCUCCCAGCUUAUUCAGCCAGCAGUGGGACCGCAUGAAGGCUGGCAGGAAAGGACCAGACAUUUCAUCCAUGGAUCCAUUUCCUUCCGGCUGUAAGACUUAUUACCUGGAAGCUAAGUAAGUAUGUUAAAUGGAACAAGGAUGACCACUUCACCUUUUUCAUAUUCCAUAUAAAUUUGUAAUGAAAACAGAGGCUUACUACGAGGCUCUCUUUCCCAUUCUUGAUCACCUUUCUUGGCUUUCCCAUAAUUAUGAUUUUUGUUUGUUUGUUUGUUUUUUUGAGGAAGAUCAGCCCUGAGCAAACGUCUG